rnacentral:rRNA from 1 species
UACGUAGGGUGCGAGCGUUAAUCGGAAUUACUGGGCGUAAAGCGUGCGCAGGCGGCUUUGCAAGACAGAUGUGAAAUCCCCGGGCUUAACCUGGGAACUGCAUUUGUGACUGCAUGGCUGGAGUACGGCAGAGGGGGAUGGAAUUCCGCGUGUAGCAGUGAAAUGCGUAGAUAUGCGGAGGAACACCGAUGGCGAAGGCAGUCCCCUGGGCCUGUACUGACGCUCAUGCACGAAAGCGUGGGGAGCAAACAGG